rnacentral:rRNA from 1 species
UCCAGACUCCUACGGGAGGCAGCAGUGAGGAAUAUUGGUCAAUGGCCGUAAGGCUGAACCAGCCAAGUCGCGUGAAGGAUGACGGCCCUACGGGUUGUAAACUUCUUUUGUCAGGGAGCAAUUGAGUCCACGUGUGGGCUUAGCGAGAGUACCUGAAGAAAAAGCAUCGGCUAACUCCGUGCCAGCAGCCGCGGUAAUACGGAGGAUGCGAGCGUUAUCCGGAUUUAUUGGGUUUAAAGGGUGCGCAGGCGGAGGUGCAAGUCAGCGGUCAAAUUGCGGGGCUCAACCCCGUACUGCCGUUGAAACUGCAUCCCUUGAGUGCGCGAGAAGUAUGCGGAAUGCGUGGUGUAGCGGUGAAAUGCAUAGAUAUCACGCAGAACUCCGAUUGCGAAGGCAGCAUACCGGCGCGCAACUGACGCUCAUGCACGAAAGCGUGGGUAUCGAACAGGAUUAGAUACCCCAGUA